AUGGUUGGCAAGCCUGAAGCAACCCCAUGUCUCAAUAUGUGUGCUCUCUUCGGAACUAAGCCCUAUACUUUGUUAGAGCUUGAAAUAAUCUGACAGAGAGGAGAAGAGUUACAGUGCAUUGAGAUCGGUUUGCAGCAUUCAUGGCAUCUUCAGGUGGAGGUUCAUCAUAUUAGUGAAUUGCAACGCUUUUAUAUGGGAAAGGUUUCUGUGCUUUACUUGGUUGUGAUUACUGCAACUGAAUCCAGUUCUUGGCUAUAAUAAUUUAACAUCAGACGCUUCCCUCAGUUUCUUGUGCUCAUGUGCAUCUGGAAACUGGUUCAGAUCAAUGAGUGCGACGGUCGUAGUCGCAGAGUUCCCACCAUCUCCAAUUUCGGUUUUUUUUUUUGGGUUUGUUUUGUUUCUUUCUCUAUCUCCACCCUUUUUCCAUUUUUUUUCUUUCUUUCUGGAAAUAGGUUCCACUGUUGGCUGCGAUUGGACUAUUCAAUGGGAAUUGCAGAUUGUAUAAUACGCAUUUCUUUAUAACUAAGGAUUAGGAUUAAUUAACGGGUCGGCAACCGAAGUUCGAACUCUUACCAAUAUUUAUUUUU
rnacentral:sRNA from 1 species